rnacentral:rRNA from 1 species
UACGUAGGGGCAAGCGUUGUCCGGAUUUAUUGGGCGUAAAGAGCGUGUAGGCGGCCAUGUAGGUCCGUUGUGAAAACUCGAGGCUCAACCUCGAGACGCCGAUGGAAACCAUGUGGCUAGAGUCCGGAAGAGGAGAGUGGAAUUCCUGGUGUAGCGGUGAAAUGCGCAGAUAUCAGGAGGAACACCAAUUGCGAAGGCAGCUCGCUGGGACGUGACUGACGCUGAGACGCGAAAGCGUGGGGAGCAAACAGG